UUUAGAGCUUCAAAAUAUUCAAAAUGGCCGCCGCCUGGCGUAUUGGUGAUAGUGGGUAGUGUUGUGACAACGAUCCCGAUGAUAAUUCUUAUUCUCAGGGAUUUGAUAAUAUCUUCAGCUGAAGGCUUCAUGUGAUCUGCGUGCUUGUGACAGCGAUAAAAUGGUCCAAUUCAAGCUGUCUUCCAAAACCAUGGAAAUACUGUUUGCAAGAACGCCAAUAUGUUCCAUCGGGAUAUUCGGCCACAUCAUCAACAACCACAGGCUAUUCAAAAUAUCUAUGCAUCACCUAUUUAUGUGCCAGUUCCCGAUUCACUACCUUCACAAAUCAAUCAACCGCAGCCAGUGGAACGUUAGGAUUCAAAAGAAGAGUUUCUCAGUUGGAAGAUCUAUAGUGGAUGCUGGAACUACAGAAGAAGAUUCAGGAAUUGGAGUUUAGUUUGGAGGAAGCCAAAGCCAAACAGGCUGUUCCUCCCAGUGGAAUUAAGAGCCAGCAGAGCGUCAACGACAAAUCGAUAUCUGCAGCUAUUUUUCACUGGAGCAAGAAACCAAAUUUUGUGUGUUCCUGAAAUUCUGAAUGAAAUCGAUCUUCUGCAAGUCCGAUUGAGCAAUGUGAUCGCCUCAACCGGAGCUGUCGUUGUCAACCGUCGUCGCAUUGGAAAGAUAACCGACAACUAUCAUGAGCCGAUUGGGCGUGGAAAAUUCGGUCAAGUCUUCAAAGGAACUUGGCAUGGAUGUCAAGCAGCCGUCAAAGAAAUCCGCUCUCCUCGGCGUUGCAGCACAGUCGUCGAGGCUCGAUCGUUCGCCAAGAUGAUUCAACGAGAGGUUGAAGCCCUUUCAGCUGUCCAGCACCGCAAUAUUAUUGGACUGCUCGGUCUUUGCAUGGAUAACGAAUCGAGUGAUGGUGAAGCAUCGAUUAGAGUCUCGCUCAUCUUUGAAUUCACCAACGGAGGGACUCUUUUCGACUGACUUUUCGGCGGCCUAGCAAAAAAUAGCAAAUUCAAAUUAGACGUGAAUCAAAUGAUGCUGACCGCUCGCCAUCUCACCGCGAGACUCUCCAUCUACUGCAUUCCACUCAGCAGAAGCCGGGCGGUUCAGUUAUGGUCCACCGUGACGUGAAAUCCGCCAAUGUUUUACUGCAACGGGAUGACGAAGGAAGAGUCGUGCGAGCUGUUUUGGACGAUUUAACGUCUUCAUUUGGAUCUUAACGAAAGUGGCUCCCGCUCUGGCCUAGCAGCCAGUUUCAUGACAGCCGUGGUAGGUACCCACGGCUAUGUCGAUCCUUUGUGUGCGGAGCGUUUAACCUGCAGACGGGUCGGCCAGUUUGCAUGUCCUUCACGCUUGAAGGUCGCGGGGAAUAUUACGUUAAACUGUCAAUGCGGUGGUGUAGAGGUUGGGUGAGAAUUGGACGUGUUGCAUCAUUAUCAAGCAGGUAUUCAAUAGCCGCAAGGCUCAGCCAUUUGGUAUUCAUUUUGAUAUUGCUUGUUGUAGACCCUUCCCCAGCAACGUCAACCUGUAGAAGGAAAGGCAAGUUUGCAUUUUCUUUACGCUCGAAGGUCACCGAGAUCUUAAAGUAAAACGUGUCAUGCGACGGCGAAGAGGUUGGGUGAGGACGACACGUGUUGCAUCAUUAUCAAGCAGGCAUUCAAUAGCCGCAAGGCUCAGCCAUUUGGUAUUCAUUUUGAUAUUGGUUGUUGUAGACCCUUCCCCAGCAACGUCAACCUAAAGAAGGAAAGGCAAGUUUCCAUUUUCUUCAAUUUCGAAGGUCACGGAGAUACCAUUACGUUAAACUUGUCAUGUGGAGUUAGAGGUUGGGUGAGAACGGGAAGUGUUGCACCAUUAUCAAGCAGGUACAAUAGCCGCAAGGCUUAAGAGGUUAGGGGUAGAAAAAAAAUCGUAUAAAAGGAGAGAGAAAAGGCGUUUGAAAUCAGUUGAGUGAGAAUCUCCGACCCGGCAACUGCUGUGUCCUAUUCGUCACUAAAUGCAUUUUUCAUUUUAAAAUCAUUACGCAAUAAGUAAAUAUCCUUUUAACUAUUUGUGCCGAUUUUUAUUGUUUUUUUUUCUUUUCAAUUGUUAAUAUGCCAUUUAUUGAAUAUAUUUAAUAUUCAAAUUGUUUAUUGUCUGUCGUAUUAAAGGAAAAAAAAAAGGCCAAAGAAAUCAGUCGAGUGAUCAUCUCCGACACUGCAAUAGCAACUGCAGUGCACUAUUGAUCAUCAAUUGAUUCUUCACUGUGUAAUCAGUUCGUAAUCAUGGGUAAAUAUUCAUUUUUAUUUUGAGUCAUGAAACAAUUCUAUGUCAUUCCUAGUUGAUAUGAUGAGCUAUAAUUGAAAUUAAUUUUUAAAUUGUUUAUUGUACAGUUAAUUAUGGCGUUGUGCUGCUGUUGGGUCGACCACGAGUGUACCGAUGUCUCCUGGAUACGGUGGCCCCGAGUUACUUCACCAAAGCGCCUGAGUACUACACUGAGGCUCCCAAGUACUACACCAUCAAAGCCCCAGAGUAUUACACUGCAAUCUACGCUGCCCCAGCUUACACCACCAAGGGACCGGAGUACUGCACCACAACCUACGCUGCCCCAGUUCACUACGCCGCCCUGAGCUACACAACCACAUCUGAGGCAGCCGUCAUUACUGCACAGCGGCUGCUUCUUAGUAACAACCUACGUUACACCUAGAUGCUACACCGAAGCCCCCAAGUACUGCACCGGCAAGGCCGAAUAUUACAUAACCACGUUUGCUGCCCCAGCUACCCUGCUACACCGAGAAACCCAAGUAUUUCUCUGCUCCAAGCAACUAUCGAACAGAGGCUCCUGUUGACUACACCACCCAUGCCCCGGGGUUUACAGUACAACCUACGCUGCCCCAUCUACACCAUCAAGGCUCCAAAGUACUACGCAACCGAGGCACCCGAGCUACUACUUAGGCUGCUCCGACUUUCUGCACCGAAGCUGCGAAAUAUUCCACUGCCCCGAGUUACUACACCAUCAAGGCUGUUACAAUGUUACAUCACAACCUACGCUUCUCCAGUUUACUAUAUAAUGGUGAAGCCAGAAAUGGAAACAGUCUAGUGCUGUUGUUUGGUGUAUCGUUGACGGUCGAGUCGUCCACUGGUGUACCGGUGCUCCUGGGUGUGGCAGAUACCAAACCGCAAUGCUACCGUCUUACUACACAACAAACAUACGCAACCAGUUACUACACCUAAAAGGCCGUAUGUUACACAAGGACGUAUGCUACACCAGUUUACUACACCGAGGAAUUCAAGUAUUACUCUUCCCCGAACAAAUACCAAACAGAGGCUCCUGUUUACUACACUACCAUCGCCCUCGAGUGUUACACUAAAACCUACGUUGCCCCCAACUACUACACUGUGGCUCCGAAGUGCUACACAUCAAUGCACAACCAAUUCGCAAUUGUUUAUUUUUACGUCGUGCUGCUGUUGGUUGUUCUAUCGUUGCUAACGUGUUGACCACUGUACCGAACUCCACCGACUUUGGUUAUUAACGACAAGAGAUGUAUGUCAAUAGGUGCAAUAGCCGUAAAGUUUAAAAUGUGAAACAGGAAAAGAAAAAAUCGGAAAAGAAGAGAGAAAAGGCGAUUUAUCAAUUGAAUGAGCAUCUCCUACCCGGCAGCAAUUGCAUUCUUCCAAUACUCAAUCAAAGGAGUACUACACCACCAAGGCAGCGGAGUACUACACCACCAAGGCAGCGGAGUACUACACCACCAAGGCAGCGGAGUACUACACCACCAAGGCAGCGGAGUACUACACCACCAAGGCAGCGGAGUACUACACCACCAAGGCAGCGGAGUACUACACCACCAGAGCAGCGGAGUACUACACCACUAAGGCAGCGGAGUACCCAGGCUGCUGAAUUGUGAAUUGUUUGUUUUAUGUUUUAGAGGUGACUACUGCCUUAUUCAUACGGACAUGUUCUUGUGGUUCGACGAUGAUAUUUCAAGGAUUAGUUACGAAAGACACUUGUAACUGUAGAUUUUAUCAAAUCUUAUAAGUAAUGGGGAAGUGGGUGACCUUUGUAAAAAUGAAAGACUUUGAAGUUGA